rnacentral:rRNA from 1 species
CAGCCGCCGCGGUAAUACCGGCGGCCCGAGUGGCGGUCACUAUUAUUGGGCUUAAAGCGUCCGUAGCCGGGUUGGGAAGUCCUCCGGGAAAUCUGGCCGCUUAACGGUCCGAAUGCCGGAGGAUACUCCCAGCCUAGGGAGCGGGAGAGGCCGAGGGUAUUCCCGGGGUAGGGGUGAAAUCCUAUAAUCCCGGGAGGACCACCUGUGGCGAAGGCGCUCGGCUGGAACGCGGCCGACGGUGAGGGACGAAGGCCAGGGGAGCAAACCGGAUUAGAUACCCGGGUAGUCCUGGCUGUAAACGAUGCGGACUUUGUGUCGGACAAGCUAUGAGCUUGUCCGGUGCCGGAGGGAAACCGUUAAGUCCGCCGCCUGGGGAGUACGGCCGCAAGGCUGAAACUUAAAGGAAUUGGCGGG